rnacentral:misc_RNA from 1 species
GAAAUGCGAUAAGUAAUGUGAAUUGCAGAAUUCAGUGAAUCAUCGAAUCUUUGAACGCACAUUGCGCCCCGUGGUAUUCCGCGGGGCAUGCCUGUUCGAGCGUCAUUUCAACCCAUCAAGCUUCUGCUUGGUCUUGGGGCUUGCGGUUUCGCAGCCUCUAAACUCAGUGGCGGUGCUAUUGAGCUCUGAGCGUAGUAAUUUUUCUCGCUAUAGGGUCUCGGUGGUUACUUGCCAGCAACCCCCAAUUUUUUCAGGUUGACCUCGGAUCAGGUAGGGAUACCCGCUGAACUUAA